CGUGAGUCUGGCGAACAUACAGCGCCAAGUAAAACAAUGGGGAAAAGUCACAAAGCCUUUGGACAAGCCAUCUGGGCCCAGCGCCUGAAAAAAUUCGCACAACAAAAAUGCUGGACGCCGGACAUGGGCAGCAGGCCCGGUCCGAGACAGCCAAGGGCUGUCCUUGACCUGUAUAACAAGGUCCAAAGAUGCCCACGGCAGUGCGGCAGCCAGCAGCCGCUGACCUUCCGGGGGGUGGCUGCGCUGCAAAGAGGCUGUAACUGUGGACUGCACAGUAGCCCCAGUCAUCAUGCACCAUUCUUGCAUCCUCACUAGAAUGUCAGCUGUGACUGGGUGGUCCUAUUUGAUGCUUCUAAUCACUAUUUCUGACUAAUUUAUUUGCUUGGUGUUGGACAUGUCGCUGUUUUGCUGUUUUUUUUUGGGGGGGUGGUGGAUGGCCUGGACAAUAGCACAGUAUAGUAUUUUGAGUACAUCUGUGGUGUCCUGGGCUGAGAGUUGUACCUAUUACUUGUAAAGGUGUGCUGUGUUGUUGCACAGGUCCCCAGGCUUAGUGCUGGUGCUUGCGAGCUAACACAACAGUGCAAUGGUGUGGUGGCUGGUUAACUUAUGUUCACAAGUUUGUUUUAUCCCAUUUAUUGUUAACCUCACUGCUUUUCAUGACAUUUUUCUUUCCUUGGUUUUGCAAAUGCUUUGCUUGGGCUGCAUACUUAGAGCAUGAUGGUCAUGAUGGUGGCUGAAUUCAGUACGCUGAGCUGCAUCCAACCCAUGCUCUAGGACCCCCAUGACAGGGCUGGGAUCCAGCGGAUCCGGCAAUAUGUUGAGUCCGGCCGUCUGGCGGAGCUGAGGCAGCGCCCCAACAUCCAGCCCAAUCUGCAGCUUGAGCGGCAUGCUGCAGGCCAGGGACUACAGCCAGCGACCUCCACUUCCAGGCCUUCCUGAUCGAGGGUCUGGUUAGAUGGAACGCGGAUCGUCACCUGGCGGCGAUCGGACAGGACAGCGCCCGCGAGGUCCGGUGCUACGGACGAGUACAGGGUGCUACGACGGCCGGAUACGGGCAGCCGUCAACGACCUGUCGCAGAGGGUGCUCAAGAGGGACCUAGUCACCAGAAGCGAGCCUCUUCGAUACACGGGUGAGCUCGUCGGGGUCGCCUACCUGUACGGGCAGACGGGCCGUAGGCUCGACGAGUACAGGGUGGGUGACCCCGACACGCAGCACGGCGAGGAUGACGAUGUUGGCGAUGACCUCGACGAGGGAUUCGAGGACGUCGAGGACAUCUUCGUGACCGACGCGUACGAUGGUCUCGAAAUGCCACUUCAGACGCCUCUCCCGGCCGCUCCCGUCGGAGUCCCCAGCCUCGCCGCCGCCGGACCUCAGGGACCCGCUACCGCCCGAGUCCCCAGCUCCGCCGACGCUGGGCCUCAGAGUCCCGCCGACGCUGGGCCUCAGAAUCCCGCCGCCGGACCUCAGAGUCCCGCCGCCGCUGCAGCUCCGGGCUCCGCCGCCGCUGCAGCCGCAGCCGCCGUCGCUGGAGCUCCGGGCCCGGCCGCCGCUGCA
rnacentral:lncRNA from 1 species